rnacentral:rRNA from 1 species
UUGGAGGGCAAGUCUGGUGCCAGCAGCCGCGGUAAUUCCAGCUCCAAUAGCGUAUAUUAAAGUUGUUGCAGUUAAAAAGCUCGUAGUUGAAUUUCGGGGUUCUACCGUUGGUCGGGCAAUAGUCUGUACUGGCGUGUAGAAUUUCUACCUUCUGGGGAACUAUCAUGUUAUUUAUUUAGCGUGGUAGGAAACCAGGACCUUUACCUUGAAAAAAUUAGAGCGUUCAAAGCAGGCUUACGUCUGAAUACAUUAGCAUGGAAUAAUAAAAUAGGACGGUGGUCCUGUUUUGUUGGUUUCUGAAUCACCGUAAUGAUUAAUAGGGAUAGUUGGGGGCAUUAGUAUUCAAUUGUCAGAGGUGAAAUUCUUGGAUUUAUUGAAGACUAACUUCUGCGAAAGCAUUUGCCAAGGAUGUUUUCAUUAAUCAAGAACGAAGGUUAGGGGAUCGAAGACGAUCAGAUACCGUCGUAGUCUUAACCAUAAACUAUGCCGACUAGGGAUCGGACGAUGUUAAUUUUUCUUGACUCGUUCGGCACCUUACGGGAAAC